rnacentral:rRNA from 1 species
UAAUGAAUCUUCCGCAAUGCACGAAAGUGUGACGGAGCGACACCGAGUGAAGGAUGAAGUUCUUCGGAAUGUAAACUUCUAAAACCUGUUAGAAAGUUCUGAUCGACAGGCUAUAAGUGGCGACUAACUCUGUGCCAGCAGUCGCGGUAAUACAGAGGCCACGAGCGUUAGGCGGAAUCACUGGGCUUAAAGCGUGUGUAGGUGGAUGGGUAAGUACCUUGUGAAAUCCCACGGCUCAACCGUGGAACUGCUUGGUAUACUGCCUGUCUUGAGGUACUCAGGGGCAAGCGGAACAGAUGGUGGAGCGGUGAAAUGCGUAGAUAUCAUCUGGAACGCCAAUGGUGAAGACAGCUUGCUGGGGGUAUUCUGACACUGAGACACGAAAGCCAGGGGAGCAAACG